CCUACGGGAGGCAGCAGUGAGGAAUAUUGGUCAAUGGACGAGAGUCUGAACCAGCCAAGUAGCGUGAAGGAUGACUGCCCUAUGGGUUGUAAACUUCUUUUAUAUGGGAAUAAAAUGUUCCACGUGUGGGAUUUUGUAUGUACCAUAUGAAUAAGGAUCGGCUAACUCCGUGCCAGCAGCCGCGGUAAUACGGAGGAGCCGAGCGUUAGCCGGAUUUAUUGGGUUUAAAGGGAGCGUAGGUGGAUUGUUAAGUCAGUUGUGAAAGUUUGCGGCUCAACCGUAAAAUUGCAGUUGAAACUGGCAGUCUUGAGUACAGUAGAGGUGGGCGGAAUUCGUGGUGUAGCGGUGAAAUGCUUAGAUAUCACGAAGAACUCCGAUUGCGAAGGCAGUUCACUGGACUGCAACUGACACUGAGGCUCGAAAGUGUGGGUAUCAAACAGGAUUAGAUACCCCAGUAGUC
rnacentral:rRNA from 1 species